UACGGAGGGGGUUAGCGUUGUUCGGAAUUACUGGGCGUAAAGCGCACGUAGGCGGAUUAUUAAGUUAGAGGUGAAAUCCCGGGGCUCAACCCCGGAACUGCCUUUAAUACUGGUAGUCUUGAGUUCGAGAGAGGUAAGUGGAAUUCCGAGUGUAGAGGUGAAAUUCGUAGAUAUUCGGAGGAACACCAGUGGCGAAGGCGACUUACUGGCUCGAUACUGACGCUGAGGUGCGAAAGCGUGGGGAGCAAACAGG
rnacentral:rRNA from 1 species